GUGGGGAAUAUUGCACAAUGGGCGAAAGCCUGAUGCAGCAACGCCGCGUGAGGGAUGACGGCCUUCGGGUUGUAAACCUCUUUUAGCAGGGAAGAAGCGUGAGUGACGGUACCUGCAGAAAAAGCACCGGCUAACUACGUGCCAGCAGCCGCGGUAAUACGUAGGGUGCAAGCGUUGUCCGGAAUUAUUGGGCGUAAAGAGCUCGUAGGCGGCUUGUCGCGUCUGCUGUGAAAACCCGGGGCUCAACCACGGGCCCGCAGUGGGUACGGGCAGGCUAGAGUGCGGUAGGGGAGAUUGGAAUUCCUGGUGUAGCGGUGGAAUGCGCAGAUAUCAGGAGGAACACCGAUGGCGAAGGCAGAUCUCUGGGCCGUAACUGACGCUGAGGAGCGAAAGCAUGGGGAGCGAACAGGAUUAGAAACCCGGGUAGUCC
rnacentral:rRNA from 1 species